rnacentral:rRNA from 1 species
UACGAAGGGUGCAAACGUUGCUCGGAAUCAUUGGGCGUAAAGCGCACGUAGGCGGCCUUGUAAGUCGGAUGUGAAAUCCCUCGGCUCAACCGAGGAAGUGCAUCCGAAACUGCGAGGCUCGAGUAUGGAAGAGGGUCGCAGAAUUCCCGGUGUAGAGGUGAGAUUCGUAGAUAUCGGGAGGAAUACCAGUGGCGAAGGCGGCGACCUGGGCCAAUACUGACGCUGAGGUGCGAAAGCGUGGGGAGCAAACAGG